rnacentral:rRNA from 1 species
UACGUAGGGUGCGAGCGUUGUCCGGAAUUAUUGGGCGUAAAGAGCUCGUAGGCGGUGUGUCGCGUCGGCCGUGAAAACCUGCAGCUUAACUGUGGGCUUGCGGUCGAUACGGGCAUCACUGGAGUUCGGCAGGGGAGACUGGAAUUCCUGGUGUAGCGGUGAAAUGCGCAGAUAUCAGGAGGAACACCAAUGGCGAAGGCAGCACUCUGGGACGUGACUGACGCUGAGACGCGAAAGCGUGGGGAGCAAACAGG